rfam:Jonesia denitrificans DSM 20603, complete genome.
UGAGACGACCAGACGGCCGCGGGAGCGAUGCUCCUGAGGAACGUCCGGGCUCCACAGAGCAAGGUGGUGGGUAACUCCCACCCAGGGUGACCUGCGGGAAAGUGCCACAGAAAACAGACCGCCCACCACGUGUGGGUAAGGGUGAAACGGUGGUGUAAGAGACCACCAGCAUGCCAGGUGACUGGCGUGGCUAGGUAAACCCCACCUGGAGCAAGGCCAGACAGGACACAAUGACGCUGCUCGUUGAGUGUCCGGGUAGGCUGCUAGAGCGAUGCGGUAACGCACCGUCGAGAUGGAUGGCCGUCACCUUCGGUGAGUGAUCACCAUGAGGGACAGAACCCGGCGUAUCGGUCGUCUCAUCCG